rnacentral:snRNA from 1 species
GUGCUUGCUUCGGCAGCACAUAUACUAAAAAUUGGAACGAUACAGAGAAGACUAGCAUGACCCUUGUGCAAGGAUGACAUGCAAAAAAUGAAAUUAGAACACUUCCU